GUGGGGAAUAUUGGACAAUGGGGGGAACCCUGAUCCAGCCAUGCCGCGUGUGUGAAGAAGGCCUUUUGGUUGUAAAGCACUUUAAGCGAGGAGGAGGCUACCGAGAUUAAUACUCUUGGAUAGUGGACGUUACUCGCAGAAUACGCACCGGCUAACUCUGUGCCAGCAGCCGCGGUAAUACAGAGGGUGCAAGCGUUAAUCGGAUUUACUGGGCGUAAAGCGCGCGUAGGUGGCCAAUUAAGUCAAAUGUGAAAUCCCCGAGCUUAACUUGGGAAUUGCAGUCGAUACUGGUUGGCUAGAGUAUGGGAGAGGAUGGUAGAAUUCCAGGUGUAGCGGUGAAAUGCGUAGAGAUCUGGAGGAAUACCGAUGGCGAAGGCAGCCAUCUGGCCUAAUACUGACACUGAGGUGCGAAAGCAUGGGGAGCAAACAGGAUUAGAAACCCCUGUAGUCC
rnacentral:rRNA from 1 species